rnacentral:miRNA from 1 species
CCUGGGAAUUGUAGUCGAGGC